UGAAUGGCUGGUUUCUAUAGCCCAGCCAUUCGAAUGACUCUUUUUCCCGAACAAAUCUGCCGAACGAACGGCCACCCAAGUGAGGAGUGUGCUGCAGGUUAACGAAGUGAUCACCAUUAUAACGUUGUGGUUAACCGCAGACACUUCUCAAUUAAACCGAACUCCGGGUGGUCGUCGUUCGUAUGUCGACCACGAGGCAGCG